AGUUUGGUCAGGAAGGCUCUGGGAUUGUCUGCAGCUCUUUUAGCUGAAGAGCAAUUAUAGAAGCCAUUGUGAGCAGUCAUCAGGUGUUGGAAAUGUAGAUUUAAUUUCUCAAUCUCCAUGUUACUGACAAACACAGAAGAAGGAGAAUGGCCGCCAGAAGUCUCCACGAUUUAUGUCCAACGCAUCCAGGAAUUCAAGAGAAGGAAACUCUUGCUAGUGGAGGUCAUUAGCAGCUGCUGAGGGAGGAACUGACCCAUCUCAAAAAGAGAGAUGACUGAGAAGAAUGUGGAAGAUCUGUUCGGGCGCAUAGAAAUGCCAGUUUAAAUCAUGCAGCAAAUUCUGUUAUUUCCACCUAUGGACGUAUGACCUGGAUUGAGUCUAGGACAAGAGCAACAAAUGAGAAUUCCUGUUUUGCCCCAUCUUCACCAGCAUUUGAAGUUGUCAAUGGCCUGGAUUUUGGUCAUUCCAAUAGGACGAAGUUUGAUAACCCACAAAAAGUCUCACCAGUUUUUAGUAUUUACCUUUAUUUGUACAAGCACUGGUGAGUUGAAAACUCCUGGAGGGUAAUUUAAGGAUAUUCGGG